GAUGAACGCUGGCGGCGUGCUUAACACAUGCAAGUCGAACGGAAAGACCCUGCUUUUGUGGGGUGCUCGAGUGCCGCACGGGUGAGUAACACGUGAGUAACCUGCCCUUGACUUUGUGAUAACUCCACGAAACAGGGGCUAAUAUCGGAUAGGAGCUCCUGCUGCAUGGUGGGGAUUGGAAAGAUUCGGCGGUUGGGGAUGGUCUCGAGGGUUAUCCGCUUGUUGGUGAGGUAGUGGCUGACAAAGGCUGUGAAGGGUAGGCGGCCUGAGAGGGUGAACGGGGACAAUGGGACUGAGAGAGGCCGCAGACGGCUACGGGAGGCAGCAGGGGGGAAUAUGGCGCAGUGGGGGGAAGUGUGAUACAAAAACGCUGCGUGCGUGAUGACGUCUUUCGGGGUGUAAACCGCUGUCGCCUGAGACGUAGAGUGAGUGACGGUAAUGGGUAAAGAAGCACCGGCUAACUACGUG
rnacentral:rRNA from 1 species